GCAUCGUUGAGGAGUCCCACAAUAGGACGAAACGGCUGUCCAGUGC
rfam:Schistosoma mansoni, Puerto Rico, WGS project CABG01000000 data, contig: 0242